rnacentral:lncRNA from 1 species
GAUCCUAACGACCGAGUUAGGGAAAAACUAUUCCCUGCUACUACCACUAACACACAUAGCAUAUCGCAUAUGCAUAUCACAUAAACAUAUCUCAUAAGCACAUCACAUAAGCAUAUCUCAAGAGCAUAUCAAAUAAACAUACCAAGAUAAUUAUCACAAAGACAAUUAUCUACCAACUACCCCUGUUGGUGGGCCGGCAUUGUGGCCUUAGAUCCACCCCUACUGGAAGGUAACUCACCUCACACUGUUGAAGUCCCGUAGACAGAAUCCCACACUGCUAAAGUCCCGCAGACUCAACCCCAGCUGCUGGAUGACAGAUUUCCAAACUGUCAAUACCAAAAUAACACCCAAUUAAUAAUCGGGUUCCACUACAUAACCAUAACACAUACUUGGAUAAUUACUACAUUACCCCAAGCUUGGUGUAUUCAAGCCCAAGGCCCAAUCCAUAGGCCCAAAGUCAACUAGGAAUCAAAGCCCACCAUAUGGCCCAAUUUUCCAAAUUGGGCCGAGGCCUAUACAUGGUCUUAUUCUAAGGCCCAAUAUCAUAUAAUCAUGAAGGCCCAAAGUAUGGCCCAAGUUUCCAAAUUGGGCCCAACUCCUCAUAUGGGCCUUACCACAAAGCCCAUUAAUUUAUUUUAGUCCAAUUGCUUGACUUUGGAUGACCCAUUAAUAACCCGAUCAUGAAGGGCCAAUAAUAAACCCAAAUGAGAUUAGGGUUUCGCAUAAAAUGACAAUUAGCGUUAGGUUUCCUACUUAACCCAAUAAGGACUUAAUCCUCUAAGGACUUAAUCCAUUAAGUCCAAUAUCGCUUAGAUUAAUCUUGCCAAUGCUUAUUAUUUAAUAUUUCAAGUUAUUAAUAAUUCCCGUGUGUGUGUCCCAAUUAAUUCUCAAAUUUAGGGUUUCAUUGCAUUAGGGUUUUCCAAACCCUAAUUAAGGUUUCCAACCCACAUUAGUCCAUUAGGUCCAAUAGCUAAGUCAUUAGAUCCAUUAUGGUUCACUAAGCCCAUUAGACACAUGUUUGGGCUUUAAUGUCAAUUAGGGCUUUAUUGGGCCCAUUAGGGCUUACAAGGCCCAUUAGGGUUUUAGUCCCUUGUCAAGACAUCCCAACUGAAUUACAACACAACUAAGCACACCGCCCCCCGACAUGGUGGCCGGUGGCGGUAGGAGGCGGCAGCCACCACCCUUCGGUGGUGGUUUGAGUUCCAUUUCAUUAUUCCAGUUUUUACAAUUACAAUGAAUUCACGAAAUAACAUGCACACUAUACUAAAACAACACACACCCACAACCACCCUUGUGGUGGUCAUUGGUGGUACACGGUGGCAGCCACCACCUCACGGUGGUGGUCGUCUUUUCUUGGUUGUCCGACUAGACAAGACACACACAACACAUACUAAUCACCAAUAGUCGGCUGAAACUAACACACACACACACACACGCAGAGCACACACCCUCAUGUUAACAGCGGAGGAGAACGACGACACAACGACGGCUGAAACAAAUUGAAACGGGGACCAAAGGCCAUUUCCGGUGGCAACAGUAGCAGUUAGCGGCGUUGGAAACCACACCUUCCCCGGAGACAACGCCACAGCAGGAGAAUAGGGACGAGAGAGGGAAGACGGUGGCGAUUACGGGACGUGCUCGACUAGCCUUCCUACGACCCCACCAAGGUUCAAGGCUCUCCUCCGUCGGACAUGAGAGGGAGCGACCCAACCAAGAAAUCAUUCUCGAUCUCAAUGACUGGGUAGUGGACACUUCGUCCUCAUCGGCAGCUAGAUAACACGGCGGUUCCUCGGUGGUUUCUGGCAUAAACAGCGGUAGCAGCAUCUGCUGGAACAGCGAGCUCGUCGGUCUCCCCUGACCGGGACAAUAAAGGAAACGACGGCUGGGAAACGACAUGCUUGCCGAAAUCAGUGAUGCCAUCGGCGGAUGAGGAGGGAUUCUAUGAUGGUGGCGGCCGGGGGGGGACAUAAGGGGGGUGACGGCUGGAGGGUUCAUUUAGGGUUAGGGUUAUGAGAUCAAUAACACAGUUAAAUACCCGGUGUUUGAAACUCACGACCAUAUUGACAGGAAUGGUCCCUAUGUCUCCCCUUUCUUUCAAAUCAAACCCACAAAUUACCAUUUGGACCCCGCCUCUUCAAUUUCUUUACAAUUUUAGUCCAAAUUUUACUAAACAACCCCUCUCUCAACAAAUCCUUUUCAAAAUCAAUCCAUAAUUUGUCUUUUUAACCCCUGAUUCUCAGUUAUGACAUAAUCAGCCCUUCCACCUCAUUUCCUUUUAAAUUAAAUUCAAAUAAUUACCACGGAGCUCCUAUCUUCAUAAAUAAUUAUAAACUGAGUCCGAAAAUUACACUUUUAACCCUCGACUUCUAAAAUGGUUUCAAUUAGCUCUUCGAGAACAUCCUUUUAUACAUAAUUAUUUACUUUAGGGCUACGAGUCCUUUAUUUCUUUAUUUAUUUAUUUAAUAAAUAAACGGUUGUUACAACUCUCCCCCACAUAAAUUAGAUUUCGUCCUCGAAAUCGUUCCUUACCAUUCCUUACUCGCCCAACCACUCUAGUAGCAUGGUUACCAACCUGGCCAUCCCUAGCCUUCCCAGGGUAGCCAUGACCAAUACUCGUAAAGCCCUAAAAUCCGCAGGUGAACGAAUUCCUCACAACAAGUUCACAUCUACUUCGUCUGAAUCUACUAUCUCGAGAUGGUUUGAUUCCCUGACAGACCACUCAUAUUGAUUCAUCAUCGAUGAAUCUAGUCCGUUUAUCCCUUUACCGACUACUCAACUUUCAAUAACUCGAGGCUCCCACUAUAAAACAGAUUCACAAACCUAAUUACCCCUGCAAAUCACUUAUUCUUGGUCAAGGAUCAGCUAAUCCCGCUGGGAGUGACUUGUCACUUCCCCGACAACCGGCUAUUCCGUCCGUACUUGCAACCUGAAACACAAUGCCAAGACUGCCAAAACACUGAAACUGCCCGAACACUGAACUGCCUAAAGUAGUAUGUUGCCACAUGGCUGCUUUCCAAAAUCUAACGAGACCUGCCUGGUCUCAAUUUAUUCACCAACGUUCUAAUCUAACCGAUCACAUCCAUGCGUCGAAUCCUGUCAUCAUCAAACCCAAGGCUAAUAGUGAUUGCCAACUAACUAAUGGUAGCCUUAAAUUACAAGCAAUCUCAUACAGUCCAUUGCUUUCCUGAUCUCAUAACUGUAGUGACGCCCCUACAGUCUCAUUACUGGCUUAACCAGAUCUAAUCCAUUUGAGUAAAUCCGAAAUCCAAUCUGUGGAUUUCCAUAUCCUUACUGCUGCACCCGAACUGGUGGGUACUAUUGCUCCUUCCGCGUCCUAACAAUGUACUCAUGCUAUCUACCAACCUAGCGAAUUCUACGGCUACAUCCACAGACUUACAACACUCCCCAAACUAACUGAACACUAGUGAAUGCUACGGCUACCCCCGUAGUCUUACAACACUUUCCAUACUAACUAACCACUAGUGAAUGCUAAGGCUACCCCCGUAGUCUUACGACACUUCCUAAACUAUCUGACCACUAGUGGAUGCUACGGCUACCCCCGUAGUCUUACAACACUUUCUAACUGGGUCAAGCACACAUUCGACCUAACACACCACCGAACUUGAGUCCUAACCGGAACUCUAACCUGGUUCCCAAAACUGGCUAUCAUGUGACCCCACUAUAUCAGUACCACAACCCAUUCCCAUGAUCAAAGCGUCAUAGUAACCCACGAAAUCAUCUACACCCUUUGGCAUAGUGAGAAUUAGUGCCUCACACAACCACUGUCUGAGUGUCUCGAAGGCUUCCUGCUACUCAGGCCCCCAACGAAAGGCCACCGACUUCUUGGUCAGUCGGGUCAAACGAACCACAAUAUCAAAUAAGUCCCAUAUAAGUCUCCGUUAAUAACCUGCUAGACCCGGGAAACUCUGAAUCUCAGAUGGAGACCUCGGAUUCUCCUACUGCAUCACAACCUCUAUCUUGGCCGGAUCAACUAGAAUACCCUUCUGGUUGACAAGGUGUCCAAGAUUUUGCACCCCGCGCAACCAGAACUCACAAUUGGAGAACUUUAUAAAAAGUAUCUCCCCCACUUAGAUUCAACUAAGUCUUCACAACACGCAAGAAUUGAAGGAUUCCCAAUCCUUCUCGCUUUCUAGUACCCCAUUGAUGACAACCUGUGCUUACCAAUCCUAGCGAUUAGUCACCGGUUAAACCUUAAGAUCGCCCAUACUCGGAAAUCUCGAUGAGUACUCUUGAAAUCUGGUCCAAUCUGACGUCUCUAUCCACCUCCCGUGCUGACACUAGAGGCCUUAAUCUUCACUCUGGCUGACGAGUCCUCAUUCCCACUUCCAAUGUCACAGUACCACUGAACACUAACUUCACUGCAAAAAUAUCGCUCUAACCCUGACCGAGGAUCUUCCAAUCAAUACUCCUGCACAUAUCUCGACAAAGAUUCAGAAUGAUAACGGUACAUGCGGAACCCACUCCGCAAGGUACGUCCUUCUGUGGGUUCAUCAAGGACCUUUCGACAUGCUGGAUGGCAUAUAUGAUCCCUGAUAACCCAAACACUAGCAGAAAACUGACCCGAGAUCUGACUUACCCAAACUCGCUCACAAUCCCAAAGCGAUACGUAUUAGCAUCAUCCAGUUAUUAGUAGUACAGACGACAUACCUACAACAUCUGAAGGAAUACUGAACACCCUCAACUGUCACGAUCAACCUCGCUACCUUGCAGUAGCCUAAACCCUUGGAGCGACAAACUCCCUUGUGCACUUUCCUGUACGUGAUGCACUGACUCUGGCCCUGCUGGCCUUUCACCUGAUGACCGGAAGUCAUGGGUCUCUUCCCGGGACCCUCUACUAAACGCACCUGACACGAACCUCUCGUUCCAGGGUGCUCCCAAUUUGAUCUCGCAUCUGCAAUUUCUUGGAAAUCAUAUCCUUCAGGGUCUGACACUCUGUCACGCUCACUAGCUCGCUUGCCAAUGGCUAAGCUGUAACAACUGGAACAUCCUCUAUCCCCAAACCGGGUCACAAACUUCUCCCUCAAGCUUCUUAGAUUCUCCAAGACUCUCGCCGAUUCGAGUAUGGAUCCUAUGCUUUUAGUAGUGCGGGCCCAAUACUACCUUCCACACCUAUCCAUACUUUCCUCAGCAAUCCUCCUGAAUCCUCCAAGUCACUUCUUCAAACUGGUACCCUGAAUGCUCACUAACAACACAACCGAACCCACUAAAGCACUUACUAGGCUUUCCUAGGUUCCCAUACUCACCCAGUCCUCAGCUGCUGACAGACUCCCCAAUAAUGUCAACUAGCUACCUCAUGAAUAUAGCCACUCGCGAUUUAGCAUAUUCACUUAGUAGCUAGCUCACAUUAUCAAGAGUCCCUCGAAGCACAAAGCAAGCAACAUUCAGAUAAUGGGAAAUCUAACCAACACAUUCCAAUCAAAUCCGUUUAUCCUCAUAUCAGGAAUAUAUACUAGCAUGUAAGUCCGAAGGCUCAUACAAUCAGGCAUAACCUAAACAGGCUAUCCUAGCACUGACUGAUCAAUACUAUCAUGUAAUUCAGCAAGCACAUACAACAGGCACAUAAGGCAUCUUCCUAGAUCCUUAGCCCUAGUCUAGCAUGCAGUUCUCAUAAUCGUAUCAUAACAUGCAUGGGUAUCUUGGGGAAAACUUACUUGAGCUCGGCUGAUUGCACACAUCACACACUUUGUUCUCAAAGUUCUUUUCCCUUUACAGAUUCUUUUCAAAUUCCUUUUUACAAAAUGGUUUUACUUUUGAAAAUUUUCAUACCAAGCCCUUAGUUUGAGUUCAGACACACCUGAGAGUAUGUCUGAAUCCCUCAAACCAAGGCUCUGAUACCAACUUGUAACAUCCCAAAAUUCAAGACCAAAAAUUUCAUUUUUAAUUAGGUUAUUACAUAAAAACAGAGUGUGAAUAAUCAAAAUAUAAUAUUAUGAAACCAUAUCAGCGUAUAAUCCCAAGGAUCUCAUGUACAGAAAACAUAGUGUGAUGCGCUGCGACCAAGUCGACUCCUUUCCUUUGAAACAAAAUACCGGAAACCAAAACUAUAAAUCGUAAGGACGAAGCUUAGUGAGUUCCGCCAUCAUACCACAUACCACCUAAUACCAUUAGUAUCUUUCAACCGGUAACUGUCACCGGUAUCUUUCAACCGGUAACCGGGGACUAUUUCACCCCUACCACUAUCACAUAAUAAUAUAUCAUAAACAUACUGAUCACGUACUAACAUCAUAAACAUGCUGAUCACAUAUUAACAUAUCAUAAACAUACAGAUCACAUACUAACAUAUCAUAAACAUACCGAUAAGCAUUGCAUGGGUUCUAUAUACCCCUUCAGUAUCUUUCAAGCUGUAACUGCCAUCGCUAUCUUUCAACUGGUAUCUGCCAUCAGUAUCUUUCAACCGAUAUCCGCCAUCAGUAUCUUUCAACCGGUAACCGAGGACUAUUUCACCCCCUACCACUAUUAUAUAAUAUCAUGAUAUAAUCAUAUAGUCAGGCAUUUCUGGGUACUGACCUACCCUUCGAUCCUAACGACCGAGUCAGGGAAAAACUCUUCCCUACUACUACCACUAACACACAUAGAAUAUCGCAUAAACAUAUCACAUAAACAUAUCUCAGAAGCACAUCACAUAAGCAUAUCUCAAGAGCAUAUCACAUAAACAUACCAAUAUAAUUAUCACAAAGACAAUUAUCUACCAACUAUCCCUGUUGGUGGGUUGGCAUUGUGGCCUUAGACCCACCCCUACUGGAAGGUAACUCACCUCACACUGCUGAAGUCCCGUAGAUAGAAUCCCACACUGCUGAAGUCCCGCAGACUCAACCCCAGCUGCUGGAUGACCGAUUCCCGAACUGUCAAUACCAAAAUAACACCCAAUUAAUAAUCAGGUUCCACUACAUAACCAUAACACAUACUUGGAUAAUUACUACAUUACCCCAAGCUUUGUGUAUUCAAGCCUAAGGCCUAAUCCAUAGGCCCAAAGUCAACUAGGAAUCAAAGCCCAGCAUAUGGCCCAAUUUUCCAAAUUGGGCCCAGGCCUAUACAUGGUCUUAU